rnacentral:rRNA from 1 species
UGCCCUAGUAACGGCGAGUGAAGCGGCAAUAGCUCAAAUUUGAAAUCUGGCUCUUUCAGAGUCCGAGUUGUAAUUUGCAGAGGGCGCUUUGGCAUUGGCAGCGGUCCAAGUUCUUUGGAACAGGACGUCACAGAGGGUGAGAAUCCCGUACGUGGUCGCUAGCCUUUGCUGUGUAAAGCCCCUUCGACGAGUCGAGUUGUUUGGGAAUGCAGCUCUAAAUGGGAGGUAAAUUUCUUCUAAAGCUAAAUACUGGCCAGAGACCGAUAGCGCACAAGUAGAGUGAUCGAAAGAUGAAAAGCACUUUGGAAAGAGAGUCAAAUAGCACGUGAAAUUGUUGAAAGGGAAGCGCUUGCAGCCAGACUUGCCUGUAGUUGCUUAUCUGGACUUUUGUCCAGUGCACUCUUCUGCGGGCAGGCCAGCAUCAGUUUGGGCGGUUGGAUAAAGGUCUCUGUCAUGUACCUCUCUUCGGGGAGGCCUUAUAGGGGAGACGACAUGCAACCAGCCUGGACUGAGGUCCGCGCAUUUGCUAGGAUGCUGGCGUAAUGGCUGUAAGCGGCCCGUCUUGAAACACGGACCAAGGAGUCUAACAUCUAUGCGAGUGUUUGGGUGUCAAGCCCAGACGCGUAAUGAAAGUGAACGGAGGUGGGAACCUUUUAGGUGCACCAUCGACCGAUCCUGAUGUCUUCGGAAGGAUUUGAGUAAGAGCAUGGCUGUUGGGACCCGAAAGAUGGUGAACUAUGCUUGAAUAGGGUGAAGCCAGAGGAAACUCUGGUGGAGGCUCGCAGCGGUUCUGACGUGCAAAUCGAUCGUCAAAUUUGGGCAUAGGG